rnacentral:rRNA from 1 species
GGUUCUCUCCGAAAUAGCUUUAGGGCUAGCCUCAAGUGAUGAUUAUUGGAGGUAGAGCACUGUUUGGACGAGGGGCCCCUCUCGGGUUACCGAAUUCAGACAAACUCCGAAUGCCAAUUAAUUUAACUUGGGAGUCAGAACAUGGGUGAUAAGGUCCGUGUUCGAAAGGGAAACAGCCCAGACCACCAGCUAAGGUCCCAAAAUAUAUGUUAAGUGGAAAAGGAUGUGGCGUUGCCCAGACAACUAGGAUGUUGGCUUAGAAGCAGCCAUCAUUUAAAGAGUGCGUAAUAGCUCACUAGUCGAGUGACACUGCGCCGAAAAUGUACCGGGGCUAAACAUAUUACCGAAGCUGUGGAUUGUCCUUUGGACAAUGGUAGGAGAGCGUUCUAAGGGCGUUGAAGCAUGAUCGUAAGGACAUGUGGAGCGCUUAGAAGUGAGAAUGCCGGUGUGAGUAGCGAAAGACGGGUGAGAAUCCCGUCCACCGAUUGACUAAGGUUUCCAGAGGAAGGCUCGUCCGCUCUGGGUUAGUCGGGUCCUAAGCUGAGGCCGACAGGCGUAGGCGAUGGAUAACAGGUUGAUAUUCCUGUACCACCUA